AUCACUACGCUAGAUGCAUAUCAAUAAGCGGAGGAAAAGAGACUAACAAGGAUUCCCCUAGUAACGGCGAGCGAAGCGGGAAGAGCUCAAAUUUGAAAUCUUAAAGGGUUUCCCUUUACGAAUUGUAGUUUAAAGAAGUGUUUUCUGUUGAAGUUUCGGUAAAAGUUCUUUGGAAUAGGGACAUCAUAGAGGGUGAGAAUCCCGUAUUUGACCGUUACUUUCCAGCUGUGUGAUACACUUUCAAAGAGUCGGAUUGUUUGGGAAUGCAGUCCAAAAUGGGUGGUAAAUUUCAUCUAAAGCUAAAUAUUGGCGAGAGACCGAUAGCGAACAAGUACCGUGAGGGAAAGAUGAAAAGAACUUUGAAAAGAGAGUUAAACAGUACGUGAAAUUGUCAAAAGGGAAGCGUUUGACACCAGUGUUGUUUAGUUGAAACUCAAUUCAAUAAUUUUUGAUUUUGAGUAGUAUUGACUUCAUCAGCUUGCUGCUUUCUUUUCAGAAAUUAUUGAAUGCACUUUUCAGUUAACAAGUCAACAUCAAUUUCUUUUGUUGUAAAAGGGUAAGAGGAAGGUGGCUUACGCUUCGGCGUAAGUGUUUAUAGCCUUUUACCUCUGCAAUCGGAGAGAUUGAGGACAGCAGCGUAGACUCUUCGGGGUUAGAUACACUUGUGCUAAGCUAUAGCCUUGUAUAGACAACUUGUUGACUAUGCUCAGUCAUGUAGCUUACUCGCUUGUGCUAUUUUACCUACGCUUAGGAUGUUGACGAGACUGUCGAUCUC
rnacentral:rRNA from 1 species